AUGUUUUUGGAAACAGAAACAGAAAAAGACAAACACUGUAAUGAAUGGACGAGGAAGAGUAAGAGCAAGGGGCCCAGGGAGAAGAGCAGGCCCAGUGAGAGGAGCAGGAGCAUUGAGAGGAGCAGGAGCAGUGAGAGGAGCAGGAGCAGUGAGAGAUGCAGUGAGAGGAGCAGGAGCAGUGAGAGGAGCAGUGAGAGGAGCAGGAGCAGUGAGAGGAGCAGGAGCAGUGAGAGGAGCAGUGAGAGGAGCAGGAGCAGUGAGAGGAGCAGGAGCAGUGAGAGGAGCAGUGAGAGGAGCAGGAGCAGUGAGAGAUGCAGUGAGAGGAGCAGGAGCAGUGAGAGGAGCAGUGAGAGGAGCAGGAGCAGUGAGAGGAGCAGGAGCAGUGAGAGGAGCAGUAAGAGGAGCAGGAGCAGUGAGAGGAGCAGGAGCAGUGAGAGAAGCAGUGAGAGGAGCAGGAGCAGUGAGAGGAGCAGUGAGAGGAGCAGGAGCAGUGAGAGAUGCAGUGAGAGGAGCAGGAGCAGUGAGAGGAGCAGGAGAAGGAGCAGUGAGAGGAGCAGGAGCAGUGAGGGGAGCAGGAGCAGUGAGAGGAGCAGGAGCAGUGAGAGAUGCAGUGAGAGGAGCAGGAGCAGUGAGAGGAGCAGGAGCAGUGAGAGGAGCAGGAGCAGUGAGAGGAGCAGUGAGAGGAGCAGGAGCAGUGAGAGGAGCAGUAAGAGGAGCAGGAGCAGUGAGAGGAGCAGGAGCAGUGAGAGAUGCAGUGAGAGGAGCAGGAGCAGGGAGAGGUGCAGUGAGAGGAGCAGGAGCAGUGAGAGAUGCAGUGAGAGGAGCAGAAGCAGUGAGAGGAGCAGGAGAAGUGAGAGGAGCAGGAGCAGUGAGGGGAGCAGGAGAAGUGAGAGGAGCAGGAGCAGUGAGGGGAGCAGGAGCAGUGAGAGAUGCAGUGAGAGGAGCAGGAGCAGUGAGAGGAGCAGGAGCAGUAAAAGGAGCAGGAGCAGUGAGAGGAGCAGGAGCAGUGAGAGGAGCAGGAGCAGUGAGAGGAGCAGGAGCAGUGAGAGGAGCAGUGAGAGGAGCAGGAGCAGUGAGAGGAGCAGUGAGAGGAGCAGGAGCAGUGAGAGGAGCAGGAGCAGUGAGAGGAGCAGGAGCAGAAGCAGGAGCAGUGAGAGGAGCAGGAGCAGUGAGAGGAGCAGGAGCAGUGAGAGGUGCAGGAGCAGUGAGAGGAGCAGGAGCAGUGAGAGGUGCAGGAGCAGUGAGAGGAGCAGGAGCAGGAGCAGUGAAAGGAGCAGGAGCAGUGAGAGAUUGUUUUUAUUUUACCCCCCCCCCCUCCCCCUCCCCUCCUUUUUUAUCUGGGCUUUUUGCUGUUGUUGUUUUUUUGUUCGGAAUGCUCUUAUGUGUUUCAUGGAUAUUUUGUUCACUGUAGGCAAUACUGUCAAACCUUUUCUGUUCUAUCAUACCGUGUUUCUACUGUACCUCCUGCAGUAA
ensembl:lncRNA